GAUGAACGCUGGCGGCGUGCCUAAUACAUGCAAGUCGAGCGAACAGACGAGGAGCUUGCUCCUCUGACGUUAGCGGCGGACGGGUGAGUAACACGUGGAUAACCUACCUAUAAGACUGGGAUAACUUCGGGAAACCGGAGCUAAUACCGGAUAAUAUAUUGAACCGCAUGGUUCAAUAGUGAAAGACGGUUUUGCUGUCACUUAUAGAUGGAUCCGCGCCGCAUUAGCUAGUUGGUAAGGUAACGGCUUACCAAGGCAACGAUGCGUAGCCGACCUGAGAGGGUGAUCGGCCACACUGGAACUGAGACACGGUCCAGACUCCUACGGGAGGCAGCAGUAGGGAAUCUUCCGCAUAGGGCGAAAGCCUGACGGAGCAACGCCGCGUGAGUGAUGAAGGUCUUCGGAUCGUAAAACUCUGUUAUUAGGGAAGAACAAAUGUGUAAGUAACUAUGCACGUCUUGACGGUACCUAAUCAGAAAGCCACGGCUAACUACGUG
rnacentral:rRNA from 1 species